CACUCCGAACGGUGGAUCACUUGGCUCGUAGAUCGUUGAAGAACGACGUGACACUCGAGAAUUGACGUGAAUUGCAGACACACCGAACUUGAAUACUUUGAACGCACAUUGC
rnacentral:rRNA from 1 species